rnacentral:rRNA from 1 species
AUCUACUGCCAUAACACCCUGAACACGCCCGAUCUCAUCUGAUCUUGGCAGCUAAGCAGGGUCAGGCCUGGUUGGAGAAUGGUUGCUUCAAAAGAGCCUGGGGGCCGAGCACA